rfam:Picea glauca, whole genome shotgun sequence.
GGGUGCCAUCAUACCAACGUUAAUGCACCAGAUCCCAUUGGAACUCUACAACUAAGUGCGCUUGGGCUAGAGUAGUAUUGGGAUGGGUGACCUCCUGGGAAGUCAUAGUGUUAGACCCU